rnacentral:rRNA from 1 species
AAUGAACGCCGGCGGCGUGCUUAACACAUGCAAGUCGAGCGAGAAAGCUUCUUCGGAAGUGAGUACAGCGGCGGACGGGUGAGUAACACGUAAGAAUUUACCCUUUAGUGAAGGAUACCUCUGAGAAAUCAGGGUUAAUACUGCAUAAGUCCCUUCGGGGAGAAAGAUGGCCUCUUUGCUGUCGCUAAAGGAUAAGCUUGCGGGCUAUUAGUUUGUUGGUGAGGUAAAGGCUCACCAAGGCGAUGAUGGCUAGCCGGCCUGAGAGGGUGUACGGCCACACUGGAACUUAGAUACGGUCCAG